rnacentral:snRNA from 1 species
AGCUUUGCGCAGUGGCAGUAUCAUAGCCAAUGAGGUUUAUCCGAGGUGCAAUUAUUGCUAAUUGAAAACUUUUCCCAAUACCCCACCAUGACGACUUGAAAAAGAAAAUUCU